rnacentral:misc_RNA from 1 species
UACGGAGGGUGCAAGCGUUGUCCGGAAUCACUGGGUGUAAAGGGUGCGCAGGCGGGCCUGUAAGUCAGGGGUGAAAGCCAUCGGCUCAACCGAUGAAUUGCCCUUGAUACUGCAGGUCUUGAAUCCUGGAGAGGCUGUCGGAAUUCGUGGUGUAGCGGUGAAAUGCGUAGAUAUCACGAGGAACACCGGAAGCGUAGGCGGACAGCUGGACAGGUAUUGACGCUGAGGCACGAAAGCGUGGGGAGCGAACAGG